GUGAGUCAUCGAAUCUUUGAACGCAUAUGGCACCUCUUGGUUCCUACUGAGAGGUAUGCCUGUUUGAGAAUCAUUUACCCCUUUUGAUCCACUGGAUCACAUCCACUUUGGUUGCUGAUCCCAGUUGGUCAAGACAUGGACCUUCAUCACUGAUCGUCUUGAAUACAGGCACGGGUUGCUCGUGAGAGUGGAAGCUAAUUCUGUUGAUCGACCAAUCCCCGCUAUAUACCCAGUGAUCUCAAAUCAGGCAAGACUACCCGCUGAACUUAAGCAUAUCAAUAAGCGGAGGA
rnacentral:misc_RNA from 1 species